GUGAGCUGGAGAAUUACUUGAAAAAUAAUAUGCGUAUUAGCAAAAAAUGAGAGAGAGAAGGAACUCGUGUAGUUUCUACUAUUAAUAAGUGAAGGCUCUUGUACGACGAAGGGCAUUUUCGUUAAUGUGAUCAACUAUGUGAGCAUUUCAGUAAGCGGUCUUAAUUUUAUAUUUGGUGACACAUGUUUCAUCACUUGGUUUUGUGGGACAGCUGGCUUCAUUUCCUCUGUACAUCCUGAACCCAUGUCUCUGUUCCUUUUCCUCUGCAUCGUUACUUCUGUGAGUUUUCAUGGUGUUUUUUUUUUCCUUUUUUCUUUUUGACCUUCCAUGACUUCUGAAUUAAGCUUUCUUGAUUUUUGGUGUUAUGCAGUGUGUGGAGCAUUCAAAGGAAUCAGAUAUGUCUUAUGAUGUUGUGAUGGUUUAGACAUUUUUCGGGCUGGACAAUUUAUGAGGUUCUUUUUAAAGUCUUAAAUUUCUUCAAGUGAUGAAUAUCUACCGUUAAACAUACUUAUGACCGUGUAUGAAUUUAUGUUUCUUAAGUAUAAGUGUAGUUUGAGUGAUGUGUGAAAUAUAUUCUUUGGAGAUUCUUCAAUUGUGGAUCAUUGGCUCAACUUUGGUGGAUUUUGUGCCAGAGCUAGAAUUUUUAUAAGAAGACGUCAUUCGGUCGAGUAUCCAGUAUUGUUAAUUGUUGCAUGUGUGCUUAUUGUACUUUGUGUGAAUUGGGUUGUGCUAUUGUAGAAUUGUGCAGACUGAUGAACCCAAGGUGUUUGAAUAUAUGCCUGAAACAGCUAAAUAGUUUUUUGUCGCUUUUGUUUCUCCCCAGGUGCUCUGUAACUUAGUCUUCUAUCAUGCAGGAGCUCCAAAGGAUCGAGCACUCGGAGCAGCUCAAAGUGAAAUCAAGAUUUUUAUAGUAAUGGAAAUCCUCAAAGUUCAAGGCUCUUGAAUAGAUAUCUAUUAGUCGGUUAGUAAUUAGACCAUCCCUUCUGCUCUAUUGUUCAUCUCUAAAUUGAUGUGUUAUUUUAACUUUUUUUUUUUUUUUGCAACUGGAAUGUAGUUAUUGCAGUGGAUGUGAAAAAAAAAGUGUGUCGGUUGAUAGAGACCUUCAAAUUCAAGCAUACUGUGUUGGACCUGUAUAGUCUAAAUUAUUCAUUUCAUUUGCAUAGACAUUACUAUCAUUUUUCAUGUGCAUUCUUCGGUAUCAAGCAGCAACCUGUAGGAUUUCUUUUAAAUUUGAAGCAUAUGGUCCCUUUGUAAUUAGCAUUAGACUAACUAAAAUUUGGCUGCAGGCGCUAUGCACUCUCAAAUACAAAACGUUGGGAGAGGUCAUCUUAGAGUCUUAUUGAACAUGUGACGAUGUAAUUUAAGGGAUAAAUAAUCAAAUAAUAAUUGUGAUCUAGAUGUUCUCGAUUUUGAGUUUUUCCUUAUAAAUUGCAUAAGGUCGAGUAAGAUUGUUGCUUCAGCAUAUGACAUGAUUGUUCCAUACUUUGCCUGUCAUUCACAAUGCAGAGUAGUAUGGUAAAUAGUUGAUUUAAUGUCAUUAUUCUGUGUUAAGUUGGGUUAACUGUUUGUUGAUAGUAAAAUGCCUUCAUCUUUUGCUCAAUAAGCAAAUAGUAUUUGGUAUCAUUUAAAGUAUAUGAUUUCCAAGAGCUGUAUUGGCUGUGGAGUGCCUCUGCAAGUUUCCAAACUUCUCAAUUUACUUCUUUUAUUUUAUUAGUUUUGUGUUUGUUGCUAUAAAAUUUUGAUACCAAUAUAUGUUAUUUUUUGUAUUUUGGUCUACAUGGUAAUAUUAAGGGUAUUUAAUUCUCUGUUCUGUCACUUUCUCUCCCCUUUUAUUUUUUAUUUUUUUUAAUGAUGUGAUUAUUUGUAGUAAUCAUUGAAGUGGGUUAUGCACCCAAGAUGUUUGAUGAUAUAUGCCCGACUCCUCUUAUUUGAAGUAAUGAAGUCCACAGGUUUUGUUUUAGGUUGUCGUGAACUCGCACGAAUGGCAGUGAUCUAACUAUACGAGAAAGUCAUAAUGAUCUUGAGGCUUGGUUGAAAUAGACUUGGAGGAAACAUUUGAGUAUUUUGCUGAAGUAGUUUGUAUGGAACGAGAAGGCUGAGUGGUAAGGAGUUGAAACUAAUAAACUUUUCGUGUUGUAUGAUAGCUGGUAAACUGAUCAGCUACCUCCAUUGUGUGUUUACUUUACAAGAAAAAAAUAGGCGGGCGGUGUAUUCUUGAGAUUUAUGAUGCUGGAGAUAGGUGGGGUAUAGGAUGGUUGGGUCAGGGAACAUAUUUUCUUUUGUUUAAAUUGAUUUCUAAUGGGAAAAAAAUUAUUUUAAGAUGUGUUUGGAUGAGUUCUGGCCAACCUCUACUGGUUUUUGGCUAAGUUGAUAUUCUAGAAUAUAUACUGAAAGUUGAUGAUUUUUUAGUUAAAAAAUUAUUUAAUGAUUUUCGGGCAAAUAGAUAAUAAGGCGAUGAGCUUCUGGGUAAUUAAUGCCAAUGUUCUCUUCUUUUUUGAGUUGUCGUAACAGUCUAAACUACCAUCAUGUAGUGGUAGGGCGACCGCGAUUAUGAUCGAAGAGGUACUUCCUUUGGUAACUCUCCUCGGUAAUUACAAGAAACCUUCUCGAUUUUGCCGAAGAAAGUGUGUAAGAGCUCAGUCGGAGUAGGUGGGAAUCAUAAGUAUUAGGCUUAAGAGGUGGAACAAGAGUGUUGAAGAAGAACGAAAGGGCUAUAAUUCACACUUUUAAAUGCAAGGACACGAGGAGAAUUAUAGCACUCUUUGCCAACAAUUCAGUAGAAUGUCCAGUUUUUGUGGUGCAAUGUGCAAUCAUGUAAAAUGUCUCAGAAGGCAUUACUCGAGGUCAUGAAAGAGUUUCAUUCUAUAGAACAUAUCAAAGAGCCUGGAACAACUUACUUUUGUGGGACACUGCUAUCUGGAGAAGCUAUCCCCAUUUCCUUCGACCCAUCAUGUAUUGUACUUCAAUACUUCAAAUUCUACCAGGAUUUGCUA